CCUACGGGCGACAGCAGUGAGGAAUAUUGGUCAAUGGACGAGAGUCUGAACCAGCCACGUCGCGUGAGGGAUGACUGCCCUAUGGGUGGUAAACUUCUUUUAUAUGGGAAUAAAAUGUUCCACGUGUGGGAUUUUGUAUGUACCAUAUGAAUAAGGAUCGGCUAACUCCGUGCCAGCAGCCGCGGUAAUACGGAGGAUCCGAGCGUUAUCCGGAAUUGUUGGGGUUAAAGGGAGCGUAGGUGGAGUGUUAAGUCAGUAGUGAAAGGGUGCGGCUCAACCGUAAGAUUGCAGUUGAAACUGGCAGUCUUGAGUACAGGAGAGGUGGGCGGAAUGCGUGGUGUAGCGGUGAAAUGCGUAGAUAUCACGAAGAACUCCGAUUGCGAAGGCAGUUCACUGGACUGCAACUGACACUGAGGCUCGAAAGUGUGGGUAUCAAACAGGAUUAGAUACCCCAGUAGUC
rnacentral:rRNA from 1 species